AUGCUCCCAAUGGGUUUGAUACAAGGACAGCACCCCUGGGAAUCUGGUGGCCAAGCUUGGGUCGAGAACAACAUUGUAAGUAGCAACAUCACUGUUCAAAGCCAAUAUCCACCCAGGGAAAUGUCCAUGGAUAGCACCAUGAGAACCUCAUACUCAAAGCAUAAACAUAAUGGUAGACAUAUUUGGAAUCUGGCUGCCUAUAUCCAUUCUGUUUUCUUUUGGUGAGAACUUUCCAGUUUAUUUUUAAGGAAUUACAUAUUUCCUUUUGAGCAGUCUUCAACCUUUCAACCCAGGAUUGGGCUAUCUUUGGACUUUGAAUCUUGAGAAAAAUAACACAAGAUCAGUGGUAUCCAGACAAGACUAUCAAUUAGUUCCCAUUAACCAGAUCCAGAGCGGCUGUGGUUCCAGUACUUUUCCAAGUCUUGUUCUCCAGCUUUUCCUUUCAUUUUCUGAACUACCAUUAAACUUCCUUCUGAUUGAAUUAGCUAAAGUCAGCAGUUGCUUGCCACCAAGGAACUCUAAGAAAUACAGCUGUGCUGACCUGUAUUUCCACCCAGUCCAGGUGGAAAUAAGACAUGUGAAUGCAAUCCAAAAGCUGUUAAUAAUAUUAAACUUAAUGAUGUAUUCCUGACCUUGGUAAGAGUGCUGUUUCCACCAAAUUUUAGCAAUCUUAUUAACGUUUCAGGUAUAAGAAGAAAUCCCUCUUACUGGAGGUUAAACUACUUAAAAAAAAAAAAAGAAAAAGAGUGCCCUGGCAGAAAAAAAGACCAUUUCUUCUGGAACAAACAGAUCCGAGCACCACACUAUGUUGGAGUUGUCUGUCUGUCUUCCUACUAGGUUAUAAGAGUCUUGAGGGUAAGAGAGCAUAUUGCAUCUUACUGAUUCAGCAUCUUAUUUGCGCUACAUAUGGCAUAUGGUAGUUCAUGAUAAAUACUUAUUGAAGGAAUUGAGACAAUCGCUACCAUGCAACUUUAAACCAGCUUUAUUAAAAGUCUGUGUUUAUCAAAAAAUAAAAAGUUUAAGCAUUGUAUAGGCUGAUCAAAUGAACCCAAAAUAUUUUAGGAGGAAAAAAGCACCUGUUUAGUAAAGUGGCCUCAUUCCUGAAUAGUCCUUCAUUUUAAUAAAAAUAAUAAUUGCAUAGAACGCUUCCCUUCAAACCACUAUUAUUCUGUCAUGCUUAUAGUAGUUUCUUUGCAACUAUUUGCCUUCCUAAAACAUCCAAAUUAGUAAGCACUGCUUGCAUGAGUAUGGUGAAUAGGGUAGAAGGAACACUUAAGGAACUCUCAAGACUAAAGCUGCAAAAUUCUUCUUGCAGGCAUCCCAAAGACAUCACUCAGGACAUUGAUCAAGGUGGGAAAAGUCUAUGCCCCUUGUUUAUAGAAAGCCCCAUUCUUAUGUAAAUUUCACUCAUGUAACAAUAUUGGGAUCCCUUAUUACACUUAUUCUUGUUGCAGAAUUAACAAGGGAAUUGUGGCAGGAGGAAGAUCAAAUGAAAUGGUCGGACAUCAGCAUUAUGAAAGUCAGGGUUCUUCAUUGCCAGUCAUGGAAUCUAUUCUAUUUGGUUUAAAUAGGAAGUGGAUUAUUAAAAGACAUUAGAACGCUCACUGAGUCUUUGGAAGAAGUGAAGAAACAGGCUCUGGAGUGAGCUUCCACAGUCCGCAGAACCUCAAUGCAGAAGUGGCAGGGAAGGAAAUGGCUCUUCCUCACAAUUCCAAAACCAUGUUGGCUUUCCCACCAUCUGUGCCUGCAAAAUUGAUGUCCUGCACCCCACCUGCUUCUUCAUAUGCAUCACUUCUGUAUCUGCAUCUCUGUAUAUGCAUCUGAUUAGCAGAACCCAAGUCACAUGACUGCACCCUGGCGGCAAAGAAACUGAGAAAUGUGGGAGCUUUGCUUGCUAUCUUGGGAAGAUGGGAUUCACACCACAGGGAACCAUCAUAAUGUAGAAGGAGUAUUAAAAGAUUUGGCGAACAGGGUAAACUAAAAUGAUUUGACUUUAAAAGGCUCCAACCCUUGAUUAAUUGUACCAAUCUGCCCUUAGCAUAAUGUUUUCAGCCAUCAGGUAGAUGUGGGCCUGAGCAUCAGCUUCAGCAUGCCUGCUCCAAACAUUAGUCAUUUCUCCACUAAAUAUCUCAUCAGGGAAAAGAAUUAUCACAUACUAAACACAUUCUAUAUGCUAGACACUGUACUAAAUGCUUUAUGUGCAUUAUGUAUUUAAUCUCCUCAAUAACCCCACUUCAAGGGCAUAAUUCCCAUUUUACAAGUAGAAAAAUAAGUGCUGAGAAAUUGAAUAGUUUUUCUCAAAGUCACACAGUAAGAUGGGGCAAAGAUUUAAU
rnacentral:lncRNA from 1 species